CUCACUUCCCGUACAUUCUGAUAUAUCUUUCCACUUCUUUCAUCUCCCUCUUUGAUCUAAUUCUUUGAACAAACCUCUCUAUUCAUUCAAUUUACUUCAAAACCCUCACCUGAUAGUUGCAAUUUGUGGAGACAUGAUCUUCCAGGAAGAAGAAGCAACUGAAGUUACAGCAGACAAACCGCAAGGCAAGCUAAUAAUCGGUGGCAGCAGCGACGAUAACAACAAAGGAACUGAAGAUGAUAAUCCAGGAGAGUGGUUGAACCUGAGCCUAGGCAGGAAUUUGCUCUCAACAGCUGGAGACUCAGACCCACAACCAAAAACUGCUUCUAACAAGGUUUUUUCAUGCAACUUCUGCAUGAGAAAGUUCUAUAGUUCACAAGCAUUAGGGGGUCAUCAGAAUGCCCACAAGAGGGAAAGAGGUGCAGCCAGAAGAUACCAGUCCAAUAGGAUGCUGGCAAUGAUGGGACUGCCCUUUAGCACUCCCUUCGCCCGAUCGCUUGGCGUCCGGCCCCAUUCGGUUGUUCAGAAGCCAAGCAGAGAUGCAACUGCAGUUGUAGCAAGAUUUAAUGAUGCCAAUACAGGGUUUAGAAUGGCAUGGCCACCAGUCACGCUGGAGGAUACAAUGGAUAUGAUUUGGCCAGGCAGCUUUCAUCUGGAUCGACACAGACCAGAGCCGCCAUCAGAGCCACACAAGCUUGACUUAAAUCUGCGGCUCUGACCCAUCCAUCCUCCUUCUGCCUCAGUUUGGAAUUUAUUCUACACUCUUUCUAUUGGAACAGCUUUUGACUUCUUCAUCCAUCAAGGACAGAAACUAACCAAGAACAAGUUUUGAUCUGAACGAAUUCAGUGGGGAUUUGGGGUAUUUUCUCUGAAGAUUUGCAAGAUCCCACCUAGGAGAAGGAAUCAGCCUCAUAGACCAGCUCCUCCACCAAAUCAAAACGCUGCAUUUGAUCAACAACUAGUGGUCGGUAUGAUUAAAGAUUUAAGAAGGCAGUUGAAGCUUUGGCCCAACGCGUUGCACAAAGAGAGAAUCCUUCUCGAGAUGGCAACGAAUUUGAGGGCGAUGAAAAUCAACAUGAUGAGGAAUUUGAGGAAUCCUCUACAUCUGAAACCUCCAAGGAGAUAUAUUCCAAUUGAUGAUAGUCAUUGGGAUGGUGGAUUUAAGGUGGAGAUUCCUGAGCUCAACAAUGAUAUGAAUGGUAGAGGGUUUAUUGAUUGCUUGUCCACUGGUGAAAGAGUGUUUGAUAUGAAGGAUGUACCAAUCUAUGAUAGCGAUUUCGGCGAUGAAGUGGAGGUAAGUUUGUCAUAUAGUCAAGAAACUCAAAGAGUUUUUUGAAGUUGUAACGACAGUUUUUUUCAGGAGAAUUGAAUCAUCCAACAAUUGUGGCUUUUCUCUCCCUUUCAGUUAGGGAUUGAGUGGAUGUUCUUGCUAAUUUGAUAGCUUGAAGCUCUCUGAUUUACAUUCUUAAACUCUCUUUUUCUCUCAUUUAUAUUCAGAAUUGCAUCAAUCGUCCUGGU